CAGUAGCCACGGUAAUACGAAGGGUGCAAGCGUUAAUCGGAAUUACUGGGCGUAAAGCGUGCGUAGGCGGUGAGUUAAGUCUGCUGUGAAAUCCCCGGGCUCAACCUGGGAAUGGCAGUGGAUACUGGCUCGCUAGAGUGUGUCAGAGGAUGGUGGAAUUCCCGGUGUAGCAGUGAAAUGCGUAGAGAUCGGAAGGAACAUCUGUGGCGAAGGCGACUAUCUGGGCCAACACUGACACUGAGGCACGAAAGCGUGGGGAGCAAACAGGAUUAGAUACCCCCGUAGUCCCUGUCUCUUAUAA
rnacentral:rRNA from 1 species